rnacentral:rRNA from 1 species
UUAAAAUAAAUUUACUUUUUUUUUAUUUAUAAAUAAAUUAUAAUAAAAAUAAUUUUAGAUUUUAUUUUAUAGUAUUUUUUAAAAAAUAAAUAAUUUUAGUAAUAGUUUAAAGUAUAGUAAUAGAAUAUUGAAAUAUUAGUAUUUAUUUAUAAAGUAAAUUUAAUUUAUUGUACCUUUUGUAUCAGGGUUUAUUAAAUAAUUAAUUAUUUAAAUAUAAUAAUCUCGAAUUUAAAAGAGUUAAAAUAAUAUGAAAGUUAUUGUUUUAUAAAUAUUUUUAAUAUUAUUUUAGUAAUGAAAUGUUAUUCGUUUUUAAAUAUAUCUAGUUUUUUAAGAAUUAAAUUUAAUUUAUUUAUUUAAUUUAAAUAAAUUUAAUUAAUUAAUUUUAUUUAAUUAAAUAAUAAAAUUUUUAGGGAUAAGCUUAAAAAUUAUUUUUAUAAAUAUUUUUUAUAUUAAAAUAUAAUAGGAUUAGAAAUUUCCAUUUAUUAAUAAAAUGUUAUAAUUAAUUUUAUUAAAAUAUUAUUUAUUUAAUUUUAAUUUUUUUAUUAAAAUAAUAUUUAUAAUUAUAUAAAUUUGAAAUAAUGAUAAAAUUAGUAUUAAGUUUAUUUAUAAAUAAAAUUUUUAUUAAGAUUAAAAUAAGGAAUUCAGCAAAAUAAUACUCACCUGUUUAUCAAAAACAUGUCUUUUUGAAUAUAAUAUAAAGUCUAACCUGCCCACUGAAAAUUUUAAAGGGCCGCGGUAUAUUGACUGUGCAAAGGUAGCAUAAUCAUUUGUCUUUUAAUUGAAGGCUAGAAUGAAUGGUUGAAUGAAGUAUUAACUGUCUCAUUUUAAUAAAUUUAAAAAUUUAAUUUUUUAGUCAAAAAGCUAAAAUUUAUUUAAAAGACGAGAAGACCCUAUAGAUCUUUAUAAAUUUUUUUAUAAAAAUAUUUAGAAUAAAAAAUUAUUUUUAUAUAAUUAUUUAUUUUAUUGGGGUGAUAGGAAAAUUUAUUUAACUUUUCAUAAUUUAAUCCAUUGAUUUAUGAUUUAUUGAUCCAAUUUUAUUGAUUAUAAAUUUAAGUUACCUUAGGGAUAACAGCGUAAUUUUUUUAGAGAGUUCUUAUCGAUAAAAAAGAUUGCGACCUCGAUGUUGAAUUAAAGGUUAUUUUUAGAUGUAGAAGUUUAAAGUUUAGGUCUGUUCGACCUUUGAAUCUUUACAUGAUUUGAGUUCAGACCGGCGUAAGCCAGGUCGGUUUCUAUCUUUAAAUAUAUAAAAUAUUUUAGUACGAAAGGACCAAAUAUUUAAAAUAUUUUUUUUUAUUUUAUGAAUUAUAUUAAAUU